UUCCUACGGGUGGCUGCAGUGAGGAAUAUUGGGCAAUGGGCGCAAGCCUGACCCAGCCAUGCCGCGUGAAGGAUGAAUGCCCUAUGGGUUGUAAACUUCUUUUGUACGGGACGAAACUUCCGGUCGUGACCGGGAUUGACUGUACCGUACGAAUAAGCAUCGGCUAACUCCGUGCCAGCAGCCGCGGUAAUACGGAGGAUGCAAGCGUUAUCCGGAUUCAUUGGGUUUAAAGGGUGCGUAGGCGGAAUAAUAAGUCAGUGGUGAAAGCCUGCGGCUUAACCGUAGAAUUGCCAUUGAUACUGUUGUUCUUGAGUAUAGUUGAGGUGGGCGGAAUGUGUAAUGUAGCGGUGAAAUGCUUAGAUAUUACACAGAACACCAAUUGCGAAGGCAGCUCACUAAGCUGUUACUGACGCUGAGGCACGAAAGCGUGGGGAGCAAACAGGAUUAGAUACCCCAGUAGUCUC
rnacentral:rRNA from 1 species